UUAUUUAUACUUUUUUAAGUAAAGGAAGCUUUUAUUGAUAUUAGAUGAUCAUAUUAAGAUGAUACAAUCACUCGAAGAUCACUUCCGGCCUUCGCAUAACUAAGAUAAACAAAGUCGAAAACUAGACACAAAAGUUAUCAAUUGUUACAAAAUAGAGCUAAUAAGAAAUCCUCAAUCUAGACUGCCACCUAUAAUCUUGGGUAAAAAACUCGUGACCACCAGUUCCAACUACUGAGACACCAUAAGCAUUGUAUUUUGGGAUCUAGGCUUCUAGAGAAUAGCCCAUGUACGGAGCCAGUGAAUAAUUCUAAAAAUAACCUGUAAAGGAGAAGAAAUUAUCUUUUUGUCAAACGCUAUCUCAUUUCUGCAUAACUAUAAUGUAGCAAGAUAAGUGACUUUAUAUCUUU
rnacentral:lncRNA from 1 species